rnacentral:RNase_P_RNA from 2 species
GUCUGGUGCGGCCCACGUGUACCCCUUCCCAAAAAGAACUCUGGUUCGUUUCUCAGGGGUGGUAAAUUCGGUGAAGCUCAUUCUCCCUCGUUGCAUGUGUUCGUGAGAACCAGCGGCUCGGAAGAGCCGUAGAGCGUUAUCAGAAAUUCUACGGGCUUCUCAGGAACCCGUAAUGGGAUUCGCUCUCGGAGAAUUGGCCCGUGCUGUUCUGAGCACGGAGCUGUUAAGUGCGAUAUACGGGCACGAAGCACUCGAUACCGGUCAUCGGAC